rnacentral:rRNA from 1 species
AUUGAACGCUGGCGGCAGGCCUAACACAUGCAAGUCGAACGGUAACAGGAAGAAGCUUGCUUCUUUGCUGACGAGUGGCGGACGGGUGAGUAAUGUCUGGGAAACUGCCUGAUGGAGGGGGAUAACUACUGGAAACGGUAGCUAAUACCGCAUAACGUCGCAAGACCAAAGAGGGGGACCUUCGGGCCUCUUGCCAUCGGAUGUGCCCAGAUGGGAUUAGCUAGUAGGUGGGGUAACGGCUCACCUAGGCGACAAUCCCUAGCUGGUCUGAGAGGAUGACCAGCCACACUGGAACUGAGACACGGUCCAGACUCCUACGGGAGGCAGCAGUGGGGAAUAUUGCACAAUGGGCGCAAGCCUGAUGCAGCCAUGCCGCGUGUAUGAAGAAGGCCUUCGGGUUGUAAAGUACUUUCAGCGGGGAGGAAGGGAGUAAAGUUAAUACCUUUGCUCAUUGACGUUACCCGCAGAAGAAGCACCGGCUAACUCCGUG